UACGAAGGGGGCUAGCGUUGUUCGGAAUUACUGGGCGUAAAGGGCGCGUAGGCGGCCAUCUAAGUCGAACGUGAAAUCCCCGGGCUCAACCCGGGAACUGCGUCCGAUACUGGUUGGCUUGAAUCCGGGAGAGGGAUGCGGAAUUCCAGGUGUAGCGGUGAAAUGCGUAGAUAUCUGGAGGAACACCGGUGGCGAAGGCGGCAUCCUGGACCGACACUGACACUGAGGAGCGAAAGCCAGGGGAGCAAACGGG
rnacentral:rRNA from 1 species